GUCCCUUAGAGUUUGAUCCUGGCUCAGCCUGAACGCUGGCGGCGUGGCUAAGACAUGCAAGUCGCACGGGUGUAGCAAUACACCAGUGGCGAACGGGUGAGUAAUGAAUCGCUAAUGUACCCCGGACUCUGGGAUAGCUGCCCGAAAGGGCAGGUAAUACCAGUAUAAUAUCACCACCAGGCAUCUGGAGGUGCUCAAAGGUCCGCCGGUCUGGGAGCAGGCGAUUUCGUAUCAGCUAGUUGGUGAGGUAACGGCUCACCAAGGCGACGACGCGUAGCCGGACUGAGAGGUUGGCCGGCCACAUCGGGACUGAGACACUGCCCGGACUCCUACGGGGGGCUGCAGUAACGAAUCUUCCCCAAUGCACGCAAGUGUGAGGGAGCGACGCCGCGUGGAGGACGAAGUUCUUCGGAAUGUAAACUCCUGUCAGGGGUUAGAAAGUUCUGAUCAACCCCAGAGGAAGAGGCGGCUAACUCUGUGCCAGCAGCCGCGGUAAUACAGAGGCCUCAAGCGUUAGGCGGAAUCACUGGGCUUAAAGCGUGUGUAGGCGGAUGCCUAAGUGCCUUGUGAAAUCCCACGGCUCAACCGUGGAACUGCUGGGCAUACUGGGUGCCUUGAGCCAUCCAGGGGUCGCUGGAACAAACGGUGGAGCGGUGAAAUGCGUAGAUAUCGUUUGGAACGCCAAAGGUGAAGACAGGCGACUGGGGAUGUGCUGACGCUGAGACACGAAAGCCAGGGGAGCAAACGGGAUUAGAUACCCCGGUAGUCCUGGCCCUAAACGAUGUCCACUAGAUUAUGGCGGGUUUGACCCCGUCAUGGUCGAAGCAAAAGUGUUAAGUGGACCGCCUGGGAAGUACGGUCGCAAGGCUAAAACUCAAAGGAAUUGACGG
rnacentral:rRNA from 1 species